rnacentral:tRNA from 1 species
GCUCAGUGGGUAAAGCACAAAGCUCUUAACCUUGUGGACGUGGGUUCAAGCCCCAU